UACAUUGGCCGUUUUACCCUCCUAACUCCAGGUGAUGUUGGUUUUAGUCUCACCAACUUGAAGAGGGCUGACCUAGGAAUCUACAGAUGUAUCAUCACAGUGGACAGCGGAACAGGAAUAACACUGCAAGGAGGUUUAGAAGAGAGACGUACUGAUAGAUGGGAAAAAGAGGAGGCGUGCAGUGAUGGAGCUGCCGUCUUUAAGUGGACUCGGACUUAGGAGGAGAACACGUACAGUGGCAGUUCAAUGAAACAACGAUUGCCAAUACAACCAGAGAAGGAAUCAGUAGGGAUUCACUGCGUAUCACAGCCGAGUACGAGCCUCGCUUUCAUCUGGUACAGGCAGGUGAUGUUGGGUUCCGGCUGGAGAAGGUCAGCGCCGCGGACGCCGGAACAUACGCUUGUGUCAUCACAUUUCCAAGCGGAAAAUGUAACAUUAUAUGGAAUUUGGAAGUG